rnacentral:rRNA from 1 species
CUACACAUGCAGUCGAGCGGUAGCACAGAGAGCUUGCUCUCGGGUGACGAGCGGCGGACGGGUGAGUAAUGUCUGGGAAACUGCCUGAUGGAGGGGGAUAACUACUGGAAACGGUAGCUAAUACCGCAUAACGUCGCAAGACCAAAGUGGGGGACCUUCGGGCCUCAUGCCAUCAGAUGUGCCCAGAUGGGAUUAGCUAGUAGGUGGGGUAACGGCUCACCUAGGCGACGAUCCCUAGCUGGUCUGAGAGGAUGACCAGCCACACUGGAACUGAGACACGGUCCAGACUCCUACGGGAGGCAGCAGUGGGGAAUAUUGCACAAUGGGCGCAAGCCUGAUGCAGCCAUGCCGCGUGUGUGAAGAAGGCCUUCGGGUUGUAAAGCACUUUCAGCGGGGAGGAAGGCGUUGAGGUUAAUAACCUUGUCGAUUGACGUUACCCGCAGAAGAAGCACCGGCUAACUCCGUGCCAGCAGCCGCGGUAAUACGGAGGGUGCAAGCGUUAAUCGGAAUUACUGGGCGUAAAGCGCACGCAGGCGGUCUGUCAAGUCGGAUGUGAAAUCCCCGGGCUCAACCUGGGAACUGCAUUCGAAACUGGCAGGCUAGAGUCUUGUAGAGGGGGGUAGAAUUCCAGGUGUAGCGGUGAAAUGCGUAGAGAUCUGGAGGAAUACCGGUGGCGAAGGCGGCCCCCUGGACAAAGACUGACGCUCAGGUGCGAAAGCGUGGGGAGCAAACAGGAUUAGAUACCCUGGUAGUCCACGCCGUAAACGAUGUCGAUUUGGAGGUUGUGCCCUUGAGGCGUGGCUUCCGGAGCUAACGCGUUAAAUCGACCGCCUGGGGAGUACGGCCGCAAGGUUAAAACUCAAAUGAAUUGACGGGGGCCCGCACAAGCGGUGGAGCAUGUGGUUUAAUUCGAUGCAACGCGAAGAACCUUACCUGGUCUUGACAUCCACAGAACUUUCCAGAGAUGGAUUGGUGCCUUCGGGAACUGUGAGACAGGUGCUGCAUGGCUGUCGUCAGCUCGUGUUGUGAAAUGUUGGGUUAAGUCCCGCAACGAGCGCAACCCUUAUCCUUUGUUGCCAGCGGUCCGGCCGGGAACUCAAAGGAGACUGCCAGUGAUAAACUGGAGGAAGGUGGGGAUGACGUCAAGUCAUCAUGGCCCUUACGACCAGGGCUACACACGUGCUACAAUGGCAUAUACAAAGAGAAGCGACCUCGCGAGAGCAAGCGGACCUCAUAAAGUAUGUCGUAGUCCGGAUUGGAGUCUGCAACUCGACUCCAUGAAGUCGGAAUCGCUAGUAAUCGUAGAUCAGAAUGCUACGGUGAAUACGUUCCCGGGCCUUGUACACACCGCCCGUCACACCAUGGGAGUGGGUUGCAAAAGAAGUAGGUAGCUUAACCUUCGGGAGGGCGCUUACCACUAGAU